AAUAUACAUGAAGAUGUGAAAAA
rnacentral:snRNA from 1 species